rnacentral:rRNA from 1 species
UCCGUGGCUCAGGACGAACGCUGGCGGCGCGCCUAACACAUGCAAGUCGAACGGAGUUACUUUUCAGAUCCCUUCGGGGUGAAGAGUUGUAAACUUAGUGGCGGACGGGUGAGUAACACGUGAGUAAUCUGCCUUUGUGAGGGGGACAACAGUUGGAAACGACUGCUAAUACCGCAUGAUGUGUUUUUCCCGCAUGAGAGAAACACCAAAGAUUUAUCGCACAAAGAUGAGCUCGCGGCUGAUUAGAUAGUUGGCGGGGUAACGGCCCACCAAGUCGACGAUCAGUAGCCGGACUGAGAGGUUGAACGGCCACAUUGGGACUGAGAUACGGCCCAGACUCCUACGGGAGGCAGCAGUGGGGAAUAUUGGGCAAUGGGCGCAAGCCUGACCCAGCAAUGCCGCGUGAAGGAAGAAGGCUUUCGGGUUGUAAACUUCUUUUGUCAGGGACGAGUAGAAGACGGUACCUGACGAAUAAGCCACGGCUAACUACGUG